ensembl:snRNA LOC120099447 U1 spliceosomal RNA
AUACUGGCAGGGGAGAUACCAUGAUCAUGAAGGUACAUUUCCCAGGGCAAGGCUCACCCAUUGCACUUGGGGUGGUUUCCCCAAAUGCAGGAAACUCGACUGCCUAAUUUGUGGUAGUGAAGUACCUGCAUUCACGCACUCCCCUG